rnacentral:rRNA from 1 species
UACAGAGGGUGCAAGCGUUGUUCGGAAUCAUUGGGCGUAAAGGGCGCGUAGGCGGCCGUGCAAGUGGAAGGUGAAAUCCCUCGGCUCAACCGAGGAACUGCCUUUCAAACUGCAUGGCUUGAGUCCGGGAGAGGUGAGUGGAAUUCCCAGUGUAGCGGUGAAAUGCGUAGAUAUUGGGAGGAACACCAGUGGCGAAGGCGGCUCACUGGACCGGAACUGACGCUGAGGCGCGAAAGCGUGGGGAGCAAACGGG